rnacentral:tRNA from 1 species
CCGAUCUUAGCUCAGCUGGAAGAGCGCGAGACUGUAAAUCUUCAGGUCGCCUGUUCGAGCCAGGCAGGUCGGA